GAGCACGUAGGUGGGUUUGUAAGUCAGACGUGAAAGCCUUCUGUUCAACGGAAGAAUUGCAUCUGAAACUACAAACCUUGAGUGUAGGAGGGGAGAAUGGAACUUCUGGUGGAGCGGUGAAAUGCGUAGAUAUCAGAAGGAACGCCGGCGGCAAAAGCGAUUCUCUGGCCUAUUACUGACACUCAGUGUGCGAAAGCUAGGGGAGCAAACGGGACUAGAUACCCCGGUAGUCCUAGCCGUAAACGAUGGGCACUAAGUAGAGGGGU
rnacentral:rRNA from 1 species